ACCUGUCCGUCAUCGUUUCCAUUAUAAAUGCUCAGAUUCUGACCAUCAGAACCGACGGACUGCCAGCUCAAGCCAGCAGGCUGCCAUGUUGCCGUAAACUGAUCCAGCGUACGGCGUCGUAAAAUCCCCGAGAGACCCUCUUCAUUCAUCCCGAACACUGACCUUGUAGUGAGGUCUGCAGGAAGGAGCAGGUGUGUUUUCUGAUUCUGUUGCAGCUGCCAGUGAUCACACUGUCUGCAGCUGGUACAGCUUGGCUCCUUUCUUCAGCAGGAAACCCUGUUCAUUCAGGGAACUCACCAGACCUUCAAAAUCCAUCACCUGGAGGGAAUCAACCAAUGACUGAAUAAACUAUCCAGCAUGCAUGCAAUGAUAGUUUUUAGAGUAGCAUCAGGUUUUACUGCAUGUAUGUAUAGACUCGUGGUUUGGAUUACUGGGAACGUUUGUGCUGAAAGGAGACAUUUAAACCUACAGAAAUCUUUCUAUUAUGCAUCUCUUAAUGUAAUUCUAUGUUUUUCUCAUUUCCUGAGGGGUUGGUUUAGUGACUCCUACUGCAUUAAGAUUAUGAGAAGCAGACACCCACAUACUUUUCCUCAGGUGGAUAAAGUCCUAACUUUUCAUUUCAUCCAUAGCAAGUUGAAAACUAAAUUAUUUGAUAAGCCCUACAGCUGAACUAGGGCCCUUCUUGAGGUCUGCUUUAUUUGCCUAGAUGACAGUCCCUGUCACAGAUUGCUUAAGUAUCUAAUUUCUCAGAGACGGUGAGUGAAAAUGACAUGGAGGUGUUUGUGCCUUUCAAUUAUGUAAUUAUGUAAAUCUGG